GCCGACAUAGCUCAGCCGGUAGAGCAACGGUUUUGUAAACCGAAGGUCGCGGGUUCGAUUCCUGCUGUCGGCACCA
rnacentral:tRNA from 1 species